ACCUAACACUUCCCUCUCUUUAUGUGCUCUCAUUCACCUGUGAGAUUUAAAUUUAGACUGGUAGUCCUUUGCCUGGGUAUUCAGACCUGGAUUUUGAGAAACAACACUACUGCAACCUGGUAUGCUGUUAUUGCCAUUGGGCAAAAAGGUCAAACCUGGAUUUUGAGAAACAACACUACUGUGGCCUGGUAUGCUAUUAUGUCCAGUGGGCAAAAAGGUCUGAUUUAUUGGCGGUUGCUCUUUGACGACGUGCUCCACCGAUGGAGCACAGUGGUUUGGAGCAUCAUUCAAGUAAAAACUGGAAGUGUUGAAUAAUGGCAGUUCAAAACAUCCAUCAUCGGCCUGCGUGUAGGAAGUAUUGUAU
rnacentral:lncRNA from 1 species